AAAAUUGAAAUUUGGUGUAAUUUAAAAGGUGUUUUUCUUUAAAACAAAUCUUUCCGUAAAGUAGUUUAAAUAAUUGCACCGGUGUUCGGAAAAGCCUUCAGAUCGAGAAGCAUCUGUCGUAUAAAGUUUCGAAGUAAACGUCAACUUGAA